CCUACGGGAGGCAGCAGUGGGGAAUAUUGGACAAUGGGCGCAAGCCUGAUCCAGCCAUGCCGCGUGUGUGAAGAAGGCUCUAGGGUUGUAAAGCACUUUCAGUAGGGAGGAAGGCCAGAGGCUUAAUAAGUCUUUGGAUUGACGUUACCUACAGAAGCAGCACCGGCUAACUCCGUGCCAGCAGCCGCGGUAAUA
rnacentral:rRNA from 1 species